CUGUGUUUGUGUGCUGUGUUCUCUCUAUGCAGGGUGUGACUGGCAGGUGCUGCUGCACAGGUGUUGCUCAUCUGAGAGCAAUCAGCUGGGCUACUUAUGGAGUGGAAACCCAGAAGGAGGUGUCAGCCUGUUUUCUCACUCGCUCACCCUGAAGGAAGUCGUGGAACCUUUCUGGUCUCCGUUUUCACUUGCGUCAUGUUCAGAGGAGUUUGGAAACUCCAGCCUCAACACCUCAGCCCUGAGCCUCCUCUCUGCUUCCAACUCCAAGCCCAGCUUCUCAGGGGCCACCUGAGAACCCCCCAUCAACCUGCCUGUCCACCCUCUAACGUUAAAACUCUCCAACCAUAGUGGAGUUUCCUGGAAGAGAAGAAACUAAGCACUUCAUCCUCCGAAAACCGUUCACAUCCUGUCAGCCUCAAGCCACCAUGGAGAAGGACUUAUUUACCCCCGGUCUUGCCAAUAACCCCACCCCUGUAAGUCGGCAUCUAAAGAACACAUUUUCUCCGUUUCUACCUAGUGUUUCCCAGCUUCUGUCUUUCUCCUUCAGAGAGACCGCGUGUUCGUCCGCCAGUUCUGGUUCCAGUCCAACCUUUAUCCGUAUUUCUAAAACAAACUGUUAAAACACUGUCUUUGUCCUCAUGGUUGUGUAUCUGAGUCUAAGAGAACCACAUUUUGACAUUACAAUUAAAAGAACCUUGGAUUGGGGAGCUUGCUUUCCUGACCUGUACAGGUUUUUCCUUUUGUGACCUUGAUCCAUCGGACCUACCAAAAAGCUUAGCCAUACUGCUGCGUUGGUGCUCUAGUGUAAAGAUUUCAAAACCUUGCAGUUCUGACCCAAAAAUUACAUAUCCAGAGAUCUGAUCCUGACCACUACAGCUAAAAUUAAUGAAUGAAUGUGUAUCUUUAUGCAUCAGAGCAAAAUGUGAUAGACAAAUAGACAGAUAUCCUUCAAAAGUGUCUUAAGAAUUGUGAAGAGUUGAAAGUGUAAGAUUUCAGUUUUUUUUUUUUUUUUACACCAUAUCUCUCUCCCUAUAAAACAGAAAAUGUAAAGUUAACUGCACCACAGAAUGCCAGAAUUGUUCAUAAAAUUUUAUUUUACCCUUAUAUUUUCCUAAAGCAUGGACCCAAUUUUUGGACCCUGCACAUAAACUGUUUAUAGUUUUACCUUCAGGCCAUCGCUACAGACCGCAGUUUACUAAAACCAGCUGCCACAGAGACAGUUUCUUCCCCCAGGCUGUUUCUCUGAUAAACAUUUAAUAGAGUACCAAACACGGCAUACUGAAGUCGCAAAUACAUCUUUAUAUAUAUGUAUAUUUAAGGACAUAAAGAUAUAUGCAUACAAACACAGAGUAAAGUGUACCGGAGUCAAAUUCCUUGUUUGUUUGUAUGAACUUGGCAAUAAAGCUGAUUCUGA